CAUGAUUAGCUAUCUAUAGCUAGGAUUGUAUAAAGGGUAGUCGCAGUCACCCCAACUCCGAUUUGUAAUCAUGAAUUGUAUUUAUAGUUACAAGUGAGGUGAGAAACAACUAUAAACGUUGGGAACUUUAAUUUUAUUAAGAAAUUAAGGAACUGU
rnacentral:sRNA from 12 species